rnacentral:rRNA from 1 species
CGCUGGCGGCGUGCCUAACACAUGCAAGUCGAACGGGGAUUUGUUUCGGCAGAAUCCUAGUGGCGAACGGGUGAGUAACGCGUAGGCAACCUGCCCUCCGGCCGGGGACAACACUCCGAAAGGGGUGCUAAUACCGGAUACGAAGUCUGUGCCGCAUGGUACGGAUUUGAAAGAUGGCCUCUGUUUACAAGCUAUCGCCGGGGGAUGGGCCUGCGUCCGAUUAGCUGGUUGGUGGGGUAACGGCCUACCAAGGCGACGAUCGGUAGCCGGUCUGAGAGGAUGAACGGCCACAUUGGGACUGAGACACGGCCCAGACUCCUACGGGAGGCAGCAGUGGGGAAUCUUCCGCAAUGGGCGCAAGCCUGACGGAGCAACGCCGCCGUGAGUGAGGAAGUUCUUCGGAACGUAAAGCUCUGUUGUUCCUGACGAACCUCCCUUCUAUCAACAACGGAAGGGACUGACGGUAGGGAACGAGGAAGCCACGGCUAACUACGUGCCAGCCGCCGC